GUUAAAAGGACUUCUGACUCAAACUCCACUUCUAGAGUUCAGGUUCAGCACUUCCAGCCCGGCGACUUGGUGCUGAUUAAGACUUGGGAAGAAGACAAGCUCCACCCAAACUGGGAAGGUCCCUACCAAGCGCUCCUGACCACUGAGACAGCUGUGUGAACAGUGGAACGGGGAUGGAAGAAUUGUCUGAAGAGGAUGAGUGAUCACCUUCCAGGUGGAGGGAAGGGGUCUCAUUAUGUUGCCCAGGCUGGACUCAGUGACUCAAAUGUCUGUGCUCAAGGGAUCCUCCUGCCUCAGCAUCUCAAGAAGCUAUGACUACAGGUGCAUGUCACCCAUCCAGCUCAAUCACACAUCAGACCGCUAAAAAUAAGGAUACUAGUCUCAAAGCUAAAUUUUAUUGUUGUCAAAAUUUUCAACAUCAGUACUAAAAACCUAGAGGAAUAUAGAUGAGCAUUUAAAAAAUUCUGUCCAGCUAAUUCUCUCCAGUGUUCAUUUAAAUAUCAUGCAAAAAAGCUAGUUUUAUAAAAGUAAAAUCUGCAUUCACGGUGGGGGGGAAUGCAAGCUUAAUGGAAAAAAAAACCCAAAAUGAAGGAAAUUAUGUGCUACGAGAUUGAAGAAACAAUGGAUCUCACCCAGCAGGGCUUUGAAAAUAAAUGUUGAGAUCACAUUUUACAACAGACUGGUACAAUCAAUCUAAUAAUCAAUGGUUAAUAAUUAGCAGAAUUAAGAGAUUUUAUGACAUAAGAGAUGUAGUAAAGAAAGAUUUACACUUUUUGAUUGACAAUAGAAAUGAAAAAUUUUAGAAAAAAAUAUAGUCAUGUAACUUAUGGUCCAAAUAUGAAUUAAACUAGAAGGUAACGUGACUUUAUUCAGUUAAUGUAGUAUUCAAAAAGUGAUUCCAAUUAGUCUUGGGUGUUGGACCAACUUCCUUCAAAGGAGUAAGUUUUAGAGAAAGUAGAUUUCAUAUCCCAUACAAAUUCAAUAAUAUCCCUGUUUAAAAGGUUAUAUUUACAUCACUGUAUUAUAAUAGAAAGUGUUUAUGACAUUUUAUUUUUCAGAGUCAACCAAAAACAGCAUGAAAUAAUUAUAGCUAUAUAAAGAAAGGUAAAUGUUAUAAAUGUUGACAUGGUAAAAGAAACAAUGUAGUUGUCAAACUGAGAGGAAGAGGGAAGGAAAUGUACAGAGAAAUAGUUGUACACGUUUUAGAAUUUCAUCUAAUGAGCAAAGAUAUAUUAUCUAAAUCUGGUGGAUCAAGAUUACAUUUGAACAUAGUAUUCAGAUUUAUAAGAGUGAAAAAAGUAAAUAAAAAACAAAGAUAAAUCUAAAAAAAAAAAAGAAGGGAAUGGGAAGGUAGAAAGACAAGAUUGUGUAAAUUACACACCUAUCUUCUCUCUCACAGCAGAAAGUAAAACAAUAGGGUUUAUGUUGAUAAAUAGAAUACAUAAAUGAUAAAUGUAUACAAACAUACUACUUACAAUUACAGAGGUGACCAUUAGAAGAAGUGAGAAUAGAAACUGUCAAAUCCAAGGAAUAGAAUAGGAGAUUAAGAGAGGCUUUUUCAGUAUUUUUUAAUGCUUAUAUCAAUUGCGGAACUUACAAAUGAAAACGGGGAAGACAAGUAUGAAUCUAAUCAUAGAUCCAUAAGUAACUAAAAUGAAUAAAUACUAUAUUGAUACUUUAAGUGAAUUUAGGUACUCUAUCCUUUAAGCAAUGAAAUCUAUUUUAUGCAUAGUGAACAGUCAUUUUUAAAAACCUAUAAUGUUAUUUUGUCAUUGAUAACUAAAUCACCAGCUAAUCACUAGCUACUGAAAGUUGCCAUAUAGGGUUAAAUGGAAAAUUGCAUACUUCUUUAGACUAGAAUUACAUUUGUGAAAAUACAGAACCAUGUUGGACAAAGGUCCACAGAAGUGUGCAUGGGAGAGUUAAACAGCAUUACUGAGAUGGCUACAGUCAGCAGGGGUGUUUGAUUCUGGGACAAAGCAAUUAUACAUGGAAUAAAUGUUUGCUGUAUCUUGGGAAAUACUUUCUAGGUAUGAGUCAGUCUAGAAGUUGCUUUCUCUCUGACAAAACUAGGUCAGUCUUUAUAACUCUGCUCCUAGCUUUGGAGCACAAAGAUGAAAUUGUUCUUUUGCGGUCAAAGGCAGUUGUGACAGGCAUAAUUUUAUCAAAUUUGGAACAGAAAAACAUUCCUCUUUAAAUUUCCAGAUGGGAUGAGAUUGUGGAGCAGAUAAUAGUGGGAAAAAAGUAUAUAAACAGAACUUCAGAAAUUCAGAUAAUGAAGAACCCAUAUAUAGCACCAGAUAUUCUUAUAACUAUAGGCAAAUAAAUUGAGAAAUCUCGGUAAAAAAUAAUUAACUUUGAAAAGGAAGUGAUUUCUGAUAAGGACAUUGUUUUGAGACAAAUACAUGCUUCAAAAUUUAGGAUUAGGAAACAAAAGAGAAAUAUAAACAUCAGCUGCAAAUAGAACUGUGAUGUGUCCUUUGAUCACAUUCAGAAUUCCCAAGUGAGGCCCAAAGAGUUAACAUAAGAAUCACAUUGCAAUUAGACCUGGAUAUUAAUUUUAGGCAUAAAUGGAAGUUUAUAAAUAUAUGCAUAUAUAUGUGUGUGUGAGAGAGUCUGCCUGUGUAUGUAUUCUGAUACUAAAUUAUAUCUUUUUCAUUGCUUAGUGUUGAUGCCGUCACUCUUAAGUGAUUUCUACAUACAUAUUUGAUUUUAUGAAAGUGAAUUUCAAGUUAGUGAAAUAUAUAUGCUUAUGGGUAUAGAGAGUAAGAAAAUAAUUUAAAUUGAUAUUUUAAGUGGAUUCUAUAUAUGAAGGUGUGCAGCAGCUUUUUUAUUAUUAUUAUACUUUAAGUUCUGGGAUACAUGUGCAGAACAUGAAGGUUUGUUACACAGGUAUUCACGUGCCAUGGUGGUUUGCUGCACUCAUCAACCCGUCAUCUACAUUAUGUAUUUCUCCUAAUGCUAUCCCUCCCCUAGCCCCCCACCCCCUGACAUGCCCCGGUGGAUGAUAUUCUCCUCUGUGUACAUGUGUUCUCGUUGUUCAACUCCCACUUAUCAGUGAGAACAUGCGGUGUUUGGUUUUCUGUUCCUGUGUUAGUUUGCUGAGAAUGAUGGUUUCCAGCUUCAUCCAUAUCCCUGCAAAGGACAUGAACUCAUCCUUUUUAUGGCUGCAGAGUAUUCCAUCGUGUAUACAUGCCACAUUUUCUUUAUCCAGUCUAUCAUUGUGAACAGUGCUGCAAUAAACAUACAUGUACAUGUG